AAGUCGUAACAAGGUUUCCGUAGGUGAACCUGCGGAAGGAUCAUUACCUAGAGUUGUAGGCUUUGCCUGCUAUCUCUUACCCAUGUCUUUUGAGUACCUUACGUUUCCUCGGUGGGUUCGCCCACCGAUUGGACAAACUUAAACCCUUUGCAGUUGAAAUCAGCGUCUGAAAAAACUUAAUAGUUACAACUUUCAACAACGGAUCUCUUGGUUCUGGCAUCGAUGAAGAACGCAGCGAAAUGCGAUAAGUAGUGUGAAUUGCAGAAUUCAGUGAAUCAUCGAAUCUUUGAACGCACAUUGCGCCCCUUGGUAUUCCAUGGGGCAUGCCUGUUCGAGCGUCAUUUGUACCUUCAAGCUCUGCUUGGUGUUGGGUGUUUGUCUCCUGUAGACUCGCCUUAAAACAAUUGGCAGCCGGCGUAUUGAUUUCGGAGCGCAGUACAUCUCGCGCUUUGCACUCAUAACGACGACGUCCAAAAGUACAUUUUUACACUCUUGACCUCGGAUCAGGUAGGGAUACCCGCUGAACUUAAGC
rnacentral:rRNA from 1 species